AUGUGAUCGUCUCUCGCAUAUCAAUAAGCGGAGGAAAAGAAACUAACAAGGAUUCCCCUAGUAACGGCGAGUGAAGCGGGAAGAGCUCAAAUUUGAAAUCUUAAAGGGUUUCCCUUUACGAAUUGUAGUUUAAAGAAGUGUUUUCUGUUGAGGUUUUGGUAAAAGUUCUUUGGAAUAGGACAUCAUAGAGGGUGAGAAUCCCGUAUUUGACCUUUACUUUCAACUUUGUGAUACACUUUCAAAGAGUCGGAUUGUUUGGGAAUGCAGUCCAAAAUGGGUGGUAAAUUUCAUCUAAAGCUAAAUAUUGGCGAGAGACCGAUAGCGAACAAGUACCGUGAGGGAAAGAUGAAAAGAACUUUGAAAAGAGAGUUAAACAGUACGUGAAAUUGUCAAAAGGGAAGCGUUUGACACCAGUGUUGUUUUUCUGAAAAUCAAUUAAAGAACUGUUUAUGCUAAGUUGUUUAGACUUUAUCAGCUAUCUGUUUAGUUUUGAGCUUUUCUUUAAUGCACUUUUCAGUUAACAAGUCAACAUCAAUUUCUUUUGCUGUAAAAAAGCUUGAGGAAGGUGGCUUGAGAUUCGUCUUAAGUGUUUAUAGCCUCUUGCCUAUGCAGUCGGAGAGAUUGAGGUCUGCAGCGUAGAUCCUUCGGGGCUAAAUGCAUUUGUGCUAAGUUAUAGCAUUUAUAGACAACUUGUUGACUAUGAUUUGUCUUGUAGCUUACUCGCUUAUGUUAUUUUACCUACGCUUAGGAUGUUGAUCUACAGAGCGAGAGU
rnacentral:rRNA from 1 species